AUUGAACGCUGGAGGCAGGCCUAACACAUGCAAGUCGAACGAGUGGCGGACGGGUGAGUAAUGUCUGGGAAACUGCCUGAUGGAGGGGGAUAACUACUGGAAACGGUAGCUAAUAACGCAUACCAUCGGAUGUGCCCAGAUGGGAUUAGCUAGUAGGUGGGGAAACGGCUCACCUAGGCGACGAUGCCUAGCUGGUCUGAGAGGAUGACCAGACACACUGGAACUGCGACACGGUCCAGACUACUACGGGAGGCAGCAGGGGGGAAUAUUGCAAAAUGGGCGCAAGCCUGAUGAAGCCAUGCCGCGUGUAUGAAGAAGGCCUUCGGGUGGUAAAGUACUUUCAGCGGGGAGGCGUUACCCGCAGAAGAAGCACCGGCUAACUCCGUGCCAGCAGCCGCGGUAAUAC
rnacentral:rRNA from 1 species